CAGAGAAGCAAGAAGGCUUGGAGGUGGGUCUAAAAGAGCGGAUGACUUUCUCACGAUUUGAUACAAGGUAACUGCCACCCUGUCUCUUCCUGACACAGGCCUUCCAUGGCCAGGCCCUAUUCUCAGCUGUUUGCGAUAUUAGCUCACGUUACCACCGAGGCCAUCCUAAGAGACAGGUCCUGUCCUGGUCCCGGAUUUAGAGCAAUUCUCACAGCUCCUGUUGGCCCAAGCCCUGCGAAGCCAACUAACAGGGCUCAGGAAACCAGCAUGGUGGUGUUGGGGGCUCAGAGGAAGGCGGGGCUUCUCUUGGAGACCGGGGUUGCAGUGGCAGUGCUGGCACCUGUGAGUGCUCACCAUUCCGAGGACAUGGAUGUGGACUCCACCUGGUCUCCUCUGGCCAGGUGGGGCAGGCUCUGGCGGGCCGAGACUGGAAUGGGCCUGUUCAGGGAGUGCCCCGCCCCCGUCCCCCAAGGCCCAGCCAUAGAGCCAGAGCUGGUGUGGGUGUGUGGCUGGCCUGGGUGUCGUGGGGUGCGGCUGCAGGCACUGGCAUGGGGACUGGGGCAGUCCUUCCAGGAAGAGCAAUUGGACUGUGGGGCAGGGGGCACCCAGGCCAGGCCAAAGUCCAGGCUCUUCAGGCCGAGGCAGGACUUCAGCCCCUGGCGGCCAGUCAGGCUGCUGCGGAGAGCAGUGGACGCAGCGUGGCGGCGGGACCUGCGCUCAGGUGGGGCCUGCAGGAUGGCGGCGUGUGGCGAAGGCCUUCACCAGGGAUGGAUGGAACUCUGAGGAGCCUGGAACUCUCCCCAGGUCCCACUGAGCCCCCCAGCCUAGGAUUCGCGUCUCCCCGUUCCCGCAUUAGGAGUUUAACAAUCGCAGUGCUCGGCUGGGUCCUGGACGCACAGAGGCUCCCGCGCUUCUGACCGGGUGAUGGCCCUCUAAACCAUUGCAAGUGGAAUCUAUCCUACGUCAAACAUACAUUUACUGGCGGGGCGCCGUGGCUCACAUCUGUAAUCCUAGCACUUUGGGA